GCCGGCGUAGCUCAGUGGUAGAGCCCUCGAUUCGUAAUCGAGCGGUCACGGGUUCGAAUCCCGUCGCCGGCUCCA
rnacentral:tRNA from 1 species